GGCUCAGAACGACCGCUGGCGGCGUGGAUAAGACAUGCAAGUCGGACGCUGAUUACGGGGUAGCAAUAUUCUGUGGUCGGAGUGGCGCAAGGGUGCGUAACACGUGGGUAAUCUGCCGCGAAGACUGGAAUAACUUGCUGAAAAGCGAGCUAAUGCCGGAUGUGAUUGCCGGGGGGCCUCCCCGGGCAAUCAAAGCUGGGGACCGCAAGGCCUGGCACUUCGCGAUGAGCCCGCGGCCUAUCAGCUAGUUGGUGGGGUAACGGCUCACCAAGGCUAAGACGGGUAGCUGGUCUGAGAGGACGACCAGCCACACUGGAACUGAGACACGGUCCAGACACCUACGGGUGGCAGCAGUCGAGAAUUUUUCACAAUGGGCGCAAGCCUGAUGGAGCGACGCCGCGUGGGGGAUGAAUGGCUUCGGCCCGUAAACCCCUGUCAUGGGCGAUCAACCCUUUUCCGUGAACAGCGGAAAAGCUGAUAGUAGCUCAAGAGGAAGGGACGGCUAACUCUGUGCCAGCAGCCGCGGUAAUACAGAGGUCCCAAGCGUUGUUCGGAUUCACUGGGCGUAAAGGGUGCGUAGGCGGUCGGGUAAGUCUGAUGUGAAAUCUCGGAGCUCAACUCCGAAACGGCAUCGGAUACUAUCCGGCUCGAGGUGUGGAGGGGGGACUGGAAUUCUCGGUGUAGCAGUGAAAUGCGUAGAUAUCGAGAGGAACACCAGCGGCGAAGGCGAGUCCCUGGACAUUACCUGACGCUGAGGCACGAAAGCUAGGGGAGCAAACAGGAUUAGAUACCCUGGUAGUCCUAGCCCUAAACGGUGCACGUUUGCUGUGAGAGGAAUCGACCCCUUUCGUGGCGAAGCUAACGCGUUAAACGUGCCGCCUGGGAAGUACGGCCGCANGGGUUAAACUCAA
rnacentral:rRNA from 1 species